AUAUGUAGUAGAUGCCAAUAAGCACAGUAUAGGGUGGAGGGACCACUCCUAUACAGUGAGGAUCCGUACAGCUGAUAAUCUUCUCAGAAUUACUUACAAAAAGGAACCAAAAGAAUUGAAAACAAUUCCUGGGGUCUAAGUGUGCAUGGGGGGAAUUCUGAAUUCUGAAAGCUGCUGCGAAUUGAGCCCUGUGAAAUAAUCUUAGCUAGCUGCCAGAUCACUUUGCCUUUAUGGUUCAGCCUGCCUAUUUUCCAGCUAGACAAGGUCUCCAAAAUUGUUUAGGGAAGACCCAGUUGAUGUUGGGAGUGUUCAGAAUGCUGGUCCGAAUCUUGUGGUUCAUGGGGCAAUGUACAAAAGGGAUAUGAUCCUCAUUACAAAUACUGUCUGUUUGCACUUUCUCUUGCAAGUAAAUCAGCUAGAGUAUUUGCAGACAUUGGAAUCCAAGUGAAUGAAGCAUGGAAUUCGAACUUCUUUGCCCCAUUUCAAAUGAGCAAAACCCUACAUUUUUCCUCUGCUAUGCCCAGCUCUGAGUCUGUCUAUUUUCUCAACAGGUAUGGGCCAUAUUCUUAUUUAAGUUUCAUUGUGGAUUUAGGUUUUGGGGUUCUACAUGAUCUUCUCAAUUUAUUUUGGAUUUUAAGAGGAAAGGAGUGAACUCACUCCAAAUUUAGCUAAAUCUCCCUUGGCUAGUUUAUUUGGCUUUCAGUUUAGCUGCACUAGUUUGUUCCUAGAUGUUCCUUAAUGGUUGUAAAUUUUAGAUAAACUCCGGUUGGGUUUUGCUUUUCUAUACAGUUAUAAGGAAAUCUUAGAACCCUUCUGUAAUCUGUUAUGCCUAACUUGUGGUGUAAAUUGAGAAAUGCAUUUUUGAAUGAAUGAUUUGUUGUAGGGUUUGGUAGAUCUUGUUCAUUGUUUUAAGGGUUGGGAGUUUGAAGAUUGUUAUGUAGGGAAAUUAAACAUGGAAAACAUACGAUGAUAAAAAUCCUCUAACCAAUCUUAUUCUUCAUCUGGGACCAUUAUUAGGUAAAGAUGUGCUUUUAUUCUUAACAGUUUUCUUAUUUUCCUUGUUUAGACAGAUUGUUUGAUUUUGGAUGUUAUUUUUCUUAACAAUAUUAUGAGAUAGAUUAAACCUCUUAAUUUUCACAAGGGUGCAUUUUUUCCCAUAUAAAUGGGAAGAAAAAACAAGUUUGGCCACAAAAGGGCCAAAGUUGUUACCGAAAUUUUACAGCUCAAAACCUUUUCAACCCCCUUGUUUUAUAGACUGAAAAAUUUCCACUCCUACUGUAUGAAAAGACCAGACGUGAGGUUACAUUUCUUCUGGGUUUCCAGAAUUUCUUGGAAAGGGCUUGACAUGGUGCUUUUAUUAGAUAGAGGCACAGAGCACAAGAGUCAUGUACUGGAAUGUUUUUAUGGAAAAACAAAGAGAAGGGAUUUGGUAUCCUUGUUAUUGUUUGGCAAGUUAAUUAUAUAGGAUUGUUAGGUUGUAUGGGUAUUCCUGUAAGUUACCAAAAAAAAAAAGAGCAUACUGGUGUAUAAGUAUUUUCCAAAAUAGAGCUCUGAUUAGGAUUCUACACCAUUUUCCCCAACAGUUAUUUGUGUGUCUUCUUAUCUGUUUGCCUUAUCUAUGGGGAAGAAGCUCAUCUUUUGAUAUAGCUUUAUUUCAAGGCUGCAUUCCUUGUAAGAAUAUUCUUUUUCCCUUCAGAAAAUUUGGAAAUAAGCCAAAUGCUCUCCAUAUUUAAAGAACUCUGGUUCCACCUCAGUUCGUCUUGCCAACCCUUGACUGAUACUCUUUAAACUGGUUGGAUGCAGUAAAAGUAGCAAGCCUAUGAACCAAUUUAUUGACCCGUCAGGCUUUAUCUCUAAUUCUAACUGGAAUCUGUUGGAUAGUUGAAUAAGGGGUUUACUUGUUUGUAAGGCUUUAUCUCCAUAUUUAAAUGCUUGUUUUCUAGUCUCUUAGCGUUUUCUUUUGGAGUGUCCAUGAUUUAGAUUUAGUUCUCUAUUUAAAUGUUUGCAUUUCACAACCUAAUCAUUGAAGGUGACUCCAAGAUAAUUAUUGGCUGGCUGGAAAAAUAAGAGAAUGGUUUAUGGGAAUAUGCAAAUUAAAAAAAGUUCAAAUGGCUAUGAUAUGGUAGUAAGACUUCAGUGGGUCAAAAGGAGCGCUAACUCCUUUGCAGAUGCCUUAGCUAAUCAGGGGGUGGGAAGGGCUCAAUCCUUGUUGGCUUGCUUGUAAUUGUCUAUGUUUUUGUUUCUGUUGUCCUUGGGGAGGGUUAAGAGAGCAUACCCCUCCCCUUGGAGGCUGUAAUUAUUGCUUUUGAAUCUAUUAAUAAAUUUUCUGUUACUGAUAAAAAAAUUAAAUGUUCAAAUUCAUAUGCUCAUUAAUGACCUAGUUGAAUGUGUUCUUUAGUUGGGUCACUGGAGGUACUGUUAACACCUCACUUUUGAGCUAAAGCAACCUAGUUAGAGCUUAGUGUAGUUUACACUGCUAAGUGAACUUAGGAGUGUAGAAAUGAGCCAAUGGAUAGAUACUAGGGGACUGGUGACCACACCAUCUUAUCUUUCCAGAAUCUCACCCCCUCCUAUUACCUACCUCAAAAUAAAUGUUUAGCUCGAAAUUAAUCAUGUUAUUGAUUGAGUAUUCUAUGUUCUGAAGUUGGAUUUGACCCAUAAUUGUGCACCUGGCUCCCAUAUUUGUUAGCUAUAACUUUUUCAUGUUUUAUUCUUUUCCACAUCUCCCAUAUUCUAUGUUCUGAAGUUGGAUUUGGCAUCUCUUCAUCCAGAACUGCAAACUUUACUCACAAGAUGUAAAGUAGCCCACAAAUGUGACUCGUUUUUCUUAUUGUUUCACACUUAAUGUGGAUUCCUUGAUUUGAAAGAUUUUUUCCUAUCAAAGGAACCAAAACCACUAAGUGGGUCAUAACCCUAGUGAAUAAUUGGGAUUAACCAAUUGUCAAUUUUUAGGAUGCAUCAACCAGUCCAACAUGAAGCCACUACCGAAAGGUCAAACUCCCUUCACAUAUACAUUUUCCUUGUGAAUAGUGAAUGGACAUAAUAUCAAAUUCUUGUAUUCAAUAUUAGCAAAUACUUAGUCUACUCUUUGAAGGGUUGUAAUUUUUCUCAGUAAUAUUAAAUAAAUAACUAUUUGGAACUCUCUCCUUAAGACUGAUUUUUUCUUCUUGCAUUGACAUUCUGUGGGUUUCUCAUUAUUCUUUAUGCUUUGUACAUAUAUGUGAAUCUAAGCUUAAAUCAGUGUAUUUGGCUGCCCUUCUAUAGGAGUUAAAGAGGGAGAGAUUAUUGUUUUCACAUCUCUAUAGAGUCGACUCACAGGCUUAGUAACUUGUUGAAUGCUUUUAGUGAUAUAUAAUUAAAUGAAUGUUCAGGGCUUCAAUGUCAAUCCAUGCGAAGUUAUGAAAUGCACUUGCAGAAAAAUAGGAAAUUGUCAAGUGUGAUCCAGUUUAUUUGCAUUAAGUUGCACUUUGCACACAGGCAUGAUCAAUUCUCAUCAUCUUACUGGUUCAAAUUAGGAGAUAUAGAUGCCAAUUAAUGCCAUCAAAUGAUGUUAAGGGCCAUUGAUCUGGAUCUGAUCUUAAUAAGCUGGAUUCCAGCUCUAAAUGGUAGACCCAUUUAGGGGUGUCAACAGAUCGGGUUUGGUUUGGAUGCCGUCCAAAUCAAAAUCAAUUUGAAUGGGUUGGAUGGAACAAUAUGACAUAUUGAAUUGGACCAUCCAGACUUAUCCAAAUUAAGUAUUUAUUAGAUUGGAUUUGACCUGCCGACCUGGUC